UNAUUCGACGCAACGCGAAGAACCUUACCAAGGCUUGACAUAUACAGGAAUAUGGCAGAGAUGUCAUAGCCGCAANGUCUGUAUACAGGUGGUGCAUGGUUGUCGUCAGCUCGUGUCGUGAGAUGUUGGGUUAAGUCCCGCAACGAGCGCAACCCUCGUUCUGUGUUGCCAGCAUUUAGUUGGGGACUCACAGGAGACUGCCGGGGUUAACUCGGAGGAAGGUGGGGAUGACGUCAAAUCAUCAUGCCCCUUAUGUCUUGGGCUGCACGCAUGCUACAAUGGCUGGUACAAACGGCUGCGAUACCGCAAGGUGGAGCGAAUCCGAUAAAGCCAGUCUCAGUUCGGAUUGGGGUCUGCAACUCGACCCCAUGAAGUCGGAGUUGCUAGUAAUCGUAGAUCAGCAACGCUACGGUGAAUACGUUCCCGGGGCUUGUACACACCGCCCGUCACAUCACGAAAGUCGGUAACACCCAAAGUCAGUGGCCCAACCGCAAGGAGG
rnacentral:rRNA from 1 species